rnacentral:rRNA from 1 species
CCUACGGGAGGCAGCAGUGAUGGAUAUUGCACAAUGGGGGAAACCCUGAUGCAGCGCCGCCGCGUGGGUGAAGAAGCGCCUCGGCGCGUAAAGCCCUGUCAGCAGGGAAGACAAUGACGGUACCUGAAGAAGAAGCCCCGGCUAACUACGUGCCAGCAGCCGCGGUAAUACGUAGGGGGCAAGCGUUAUCCGGAUUUACUGGGUGUAAAGGGGGCGCAGACGGCGAUGCAAGCCAGGAGUGAAAGCCCGGGGCCCAACCCCGGGACUGCUCUUGGAACUGCGUGGCUAGAGUGCAGGAUGGGCAGGCGGAAUUCCUGGUGUAGCGGUGAAAUGCGUAGAUAUCAGGAGGAACACCGGUGGCGAAGGCGGCCUGCUGGACUGCAACUGACGUUGAGGCCCGAAAGCGUGGGGAGCAAACAGGAUUAGAUACCCGAGUAGUC